rnacentral:lncRNA from 1 species
GGUGGCAGCCAUGGCGGACGGUUGCGAUGAGGCUGCUCCUGGGUCUCGCGGCUAUCCAAGACCAUCGAGGGUCCCCGGCGGCGCCUGCCGUCUGCUGAGGCUGGGUGGACUCCUCUGCGGCAGAUCUCCUGUAAGAUGUGCUGGUUAAGGCUUCUGGCAGAUUCGGGUCAGUCCCAAGUGCGACCGGUCUUCUGGGGCUGCCGUCCGCAGACCCUUCUCGCAUCCACGUACCUGGCGGCCUCCCUCAUCGCGUGCUGUUGGUAGGGGGGCGAGUCAGGCCCUGUACACGUCCUGACAGGCACCCGGCCCACCCCCAGCCAACUGUGCGCUGUGUUCCUGCCCCAGCACGAGACCUGUGGGGUGUCCGCGGCAGAAGAUGUCAGAGCUGGAAGAGACCUGAGAGGCGAUCCCCUUGGUGGGUGAUGGUUCUUCCGGGAAUCUGGUGGUGAUGGAGUCCCAGAAAGCGUAACUGUCUGCCAGCUCACGAGGCCGUUUUGUGCAGAUAGUUUGAUUACCUCUGUGGUUGGGAUUCAACUUGUCGCCUUUUCCCCGGGAAUCUCCAGAUGAGCGGUGUGUCAGCCUGGAAAAGGUUUGCGCGCCUUGUCGUCUGCUUCCAGAACAAGGAUCUUCGCUGUACGCCAAGACCCAGACCCCUCUGACAUCGGAAUGACAAGUGGGAUAUUUAAUAAAACAGUUUCAAAUUUGGA